UCUUUUUUUCAUUCUUUUUUUCACUCUUUUUUUAAUCCUUUUUUUCCAAAUUUCUUCUCGGCGCCCAAUCGAAGACCCCCGUGCCGACGCCAAUCCUCCCUCUUCCCGAACUGCCUCCACGAGCGCCGCGCGCCGCGCCGACGCCGUUAUCUGCGGCCCGUCUGUGUAUUUUACCCCUUUCGCCGCUCUCGAGGCCUGAUGUCAGCGCCCAUCGGUUCCGCUCUCUGCGCUGACGCGCCUCGGCCCCCGCGGCGUCUGUAGUUGGGCUCCUCGCUUUCCUCAUUCCGGGUUAAAAAAAAAAAAAAACCCGUAGCCGGAGUGACAGCAGAGGUGACUUGGAGCUCUACGUCAUCUUGGAGGUGACUUUGAGCUCUACGUCAUCGACUUUGAGCUCUACGUCAUCUUGGAGGUGACUUGGAGCCCUGCAUCAUUUUGGAGGUGACUUGGAGCUCUACGUCAUCGACUUUGAGCCCUAUGUCAUCUUGGAGGUGACUUUGUGCUCUACAUCAUCCCAUAGGUGACUUGGAGCUCUACGUCAUCGACUUUGAGCUCUACAUCAUCUUGGAGGUGACUUGGAGCUCUACGUCAUCGACUUUGAGCUCUACGUCAUCUUGGAGGUGACUUGGAGCUCUACAUCAUCGACUUUGAGCUCUACGUCAUCUUGGAGGUGACUUGGAGCUCUACGUCAUCGACUUUGAGCCCUACGUUAUCUUGGAGGUGACUUGGAGCUCUACGUCAUCCCGUAGGUGACUUUGAGCUCUACAUCAUCAACUUUGAGCCCUACAUCAUCUUGGAGGUGACUUUGAGCCCUCCGUCAUCUUGCUCCAACAGCGUCGCUCGAUAUGCUCCGAAAGGUCCUCCUUGGCCUUAAGAAGCUUAACGAGCUUGCAGUCGUUUGCGCGCGCGCUCCUGCCAGGUUUCCGCUGCCGAUAGGACACCAUCCCCAUUACCGCGGCGUAACUCCUCCGGGACGGUUUCUUUUCC